rnacentral:rRNA from 1 species
AACCGCGGUUAUACGAGAGGCUCAAGUUGACAGACAGCGGCGUAAAGAGUGGUUAAGGAAAACCCCCUAAACUAAAGCCGAACGCCUGCAGAACUGUUAUACGUUUAUGAAGGUAUGAAGCUCAACCACGAAAGUGGCUUUAUUCCCCCCUGACCCCACGAAAGCUGAGAAA